rnacentral:rRNA from 1 species
GAUGAACGCUGGCGGCGUGCCUAAUACAUGCAAGUCGAGCGAACAGACGAGGAGCUUGCUCCUUUGACGUUAGCGGCGGACGGGUGAGUAACACGUAGGUAACCUACCUAUAAGACUGGGAUAACUUCGGGAAACCGGAGCUAAUACCGGAUAAUAUUUCGAACCGCAUGGUUCGAUAGUGAAAGAUGGCUUUGCUAUCACUUAUAGAUGGACCUGCGCCGUAUUAGCUAGUUGGUAAGGUAACGGCUUACCAAGGCAACGAUACGUAGCCGACCUGAGAGGGUGAUCGGCCACACUGGAACUGAGACACGGUCCAGACUCCUACGGGAGGCAGCAGUAGGGAAUCUUCCGCAAUGGGCGAAAGCCUGACGCAGCAACGCCGCGUGAGUGAUGAAGGUCUUCGGAUCGUAAAACUCUGUUAUUAGGGAAGAACAAACGUGUAAGUAACUGUGCACGUCUUGACGGUACCUAAUCAAAAAGCCACGGCUAACUACGUG